GUGUCAGCCGCCGCGGUAAUACGUAGGUGGCGAGCGUUGUCCGGAAUUACUGGGUGUAAAGGGUGCGUAGGCGGGUAUGCAAGUCAGGUGUGAAAGCCCAAGGCUUAACUUUGGGAGUGCAUUUGAAACUGCAUAUCUUGAGUGGGGGAGAGGUAAGCGGAAUUCCCAGUGUAGCGGUGAAAUGCGUAGAUAUUGGGAGGAACACCAGUGGCGAAGGCGGCUUACUGGACUCUAACUGACGCUGAGGCACGAAAGCGUGGGGAGCAAACAGGAUUAGAUACCCUGGUAGUCCACGCUGUAAACGAUGGAUACUAGGUGUGGGGGGUAUUGAUACCUUCCGUGCCGGAGUUAACACAAUAAGUAUCCCACCUGGGGAGUACGGCCGCAAGGUUGAAACUCAAAUAAAUUGGCGG
rnacentral:rRNA from 1 species